CUGUGACACAGAGGAAGAGCAGCCACAAAAGUUGCAGCCUCUCGUUGGAGAGAAAAAAAAAUCUCCACCACUGCUUUGAGUGAAGUGAAGCUGCUCUUCUCAGCUCGACUCACAGCGCCGCGGAGGAAGAGAGGUGAAGAGACAAGUGUCAAACCUGGACUGCCAUGGAGUGAUGACAUCAUCAUCCGGUCCGCCAAUCAACACCAGCUUCUUGAUGCGUAGGAAGUUCUCCCUCCAGGCUGACAAAGGUUUAUUAAUAUUAUUUAUUAUUUCUAUCAUUAUUACAAUCUUAACACAAAGGCAGCGUUGGGAUUACUCCUGGACUACUGUGUGCUGCCUAAAUAGUGAGUUGGCCAUCAGGAAUUGUGAAUUGUGUGAUGUUGCGCUUACAUUUUGUGUUGUUGUGAGGUAUGUCACCGUUGAGUAGUGGAAGAAAAUUGCUGUUCUUCAAGUAACUGGGCCUGUGAUGAGGGUCUGUAGAAUAUAGACACAAUUAUUACUCAAAUUGAUGAUAUAAUUAUCCUAAUGUCAGGGGUUCUAGUAAUGAUCUCUGUGGGACGCCAUAAAACAAUCCAUCUAUUUAUGAAGCUUGCAAAUUGUUACCAUCCGCAGGAUCAAAAAUUGUGCAAAAUUUGACUUUUUACAUUGUACAUGUUUCAUUUUACAUCACGCCUGAACAAUCCAAAUUGAAAUGUUUCAACUCCAAGAAUGUGCUCACCAUUCCAAUACUGGCAAAUAGACACUUUUUGUCCCAGCCUGUUGUAGCAAACCAGGAAGAUUGUAUCUUUCAUGAAGUAGGGAAACACCCGCUGAAGGUAGUACGUUUCUGGCGGGACAAAAAAAA